rnacentral:rRNA from 1 species
GAUGAACGCUGGCGGCGUGCCUAAUACAUGCAAGUCGAGCGAACAGAUGAGGAGCUUGCUCCUCUGACGUUAGCGGCGGACGGGUGAGUAACACGUGGAUAACCUACCUAUAAGACUGGGAUAACUUCGGGAAACCGGAGCUAAUACCGGAUAAUAUAUUGAACCGCAUGGUUCAAUAGUGAAAGACGGUUUUGCUGUCACUUAUAGAUGGAUCCGCGCCGCAUUAGCUAGUUGGUAAGGUAACGGCUUACCAAGGCAACGAUGCGUAGCCGACCUGAGAGGGUGAUCGGCCACACUGGAACGGGAACACGGUCCAGGCUCCUGCGGGAGGGAGCAGUAGGGAAUCUUACGCAAUGGGCGAAAGCUUGACGGAGCAAGGCCGCGUGAGUGAUGAAGGUCUUCGGAUCGUAAAACUCUGUUAUUAGGGAAGAACAAAUGUGUAAGUAACUAUGCACGUCUUGACGGUACCUAAUCAGAAAGCCACGGCUAACUACGUG